AUUGAACGCUGGCGGCAUGCUUUACACAUGCAAGUCGAACGGUAACAGGCCGCAAGGUGCUAACGAGUGGCGAACGGGUGAGUAAUGCAUCGGAACGUGCCCAGUCGGGGGGGAUAACGCAGCGAAAGCUGCGCUAAUACCGCAUACGAUCUAUGGAUGAAAGCGGGGGACCGAAAGGCCUCGCGCGAUUGGAGCGGCCGAUGUCAGAUUAGGUAGUUGGUGGGGUAAAGGCCCACCAAGCCAACGAUCUGUAGCUGGUCUGAGAGGACGACCAGCCACACUGGGACUGAGACACGGCCCAGACUCCUACGGGAGGCAGCAGUGGGGAAUUUUGGACAAUGGGCGCAAGCCUGAUCCAGCAAUGCCGCGUGCAGGAAGAAGGCCUUCGGGUUGUAAACUGCUUUUGUACGGAACGAAACGGUCCGGGUUAAUACCCUGGGCUAAUGACGGUACCGUAAGAAUAAGCACCGGCUAACUACGUGCCAGCCGCCGCAGUAACAC
rnacentral:rRNA from 1 species